GAAACAGGAGAGAGAAAGAGCAUUAACAUACUCUCUAGGGCAGCUACUGCCAACCAGGGGGUGGUCACAAAAGUACUGCAUGAAUGGUGAAAUAACCAAAGCGAACGAGCUUCAUAUUCUUCCGAGUAUUGGGGCUGUGUGAGGCCCAGCUCCUACUUUCUCUCUCCUCUCUAAUACAGAGCAAUUUUGUCUCCUUUCCCUAAAAAUAGAAACCACCCCAUCAAUUAUGGCUCCUCUGCAGUCACUUUGUCAAGAUGUUCAUAACUACCUGACUAAAAGCCUCCAGGAAAAGAAAUGCAGAAUCCUGGGGUGAGCUGUUUCUUUCACAAGAGAUUUUUAAGCUGCUUCUCACUUUCACAGGCAUUUUAUAAACAAUAAUGGGCAGUUUUGCUUCAAGAUGCUGUUAUUUUCUGUCCUUGGUGUGGUGCUUUACAGCUAAAAAUGUCUUCUAAUGCAGAAAAUUUGAUCUUUAAAAGACUGCUAUUGCUCUUAAGCUUGUCGUCGAUCCUUGAGUGUCAUUUGUGAAAAGAGAAAUGUCCAUAUUUAGUGUGGACGGAUACUGCUGGACAUUGAGGUGCAUUUAUAUUUAUAUUUAUUAUAUAUUCAAAUUUAUACAACAGUUAGUUCCGACCAAGUAAUUUGAUUGGACGAGAGGAAUUCCAUGAGCGCUGGGACUUUUAACUCCAUGUAUCACUCCGCUUCACGGGUGUUCUAUCAACCGUUAAUCAGCGUUACAUUAACGGUCGUUAUCUAUCUUAGAUUGCAACAAACUUUGCAAAGAUGAAAAUAUUUCCAGAAAUAACAUUUGAAUUAAAUGACGUAUGGUCGUCAGAAGAGGAUCAUGGGAAGAGGCCUGGAUACUUCAGCUCACACAUGAGUGACCGGGGGCAGAGGAACCUGUUGACAUGGAAACAGGCUGAUGGGCAGCAUCCCAAAGGCAGCAGAGCCCCCCCCCCCCGGGAUUCUCAUAUGACGUCAAUCAGGUUCAGGGUUCUUGUAUGAACCACUGAAGCAUCACAGAGAGAGAAACUGGAAGACUGAGACAGAAAUGAAGUCAUCUGAUGGCCUCCUAUGUCCCAAAGCCAGCUCCCGUUCCUGACCGUGGAUCAUGGAUAGUGCUGGGUGUUGUUAUCAAGACCAGACUAAUGGGAACAUCAGGCCUAAACCACAUCCUCCUGCAGACUGACCCCCUAUACACAGGAUAUCCUGUU